ensembl:lncRNA
AGGUGCCUAGCAUCCCCCUGCUCUGAGGCUGACACAGUCGUGUGGGAGGCUCUUGAUGGCUGGCAGGAAGAGAUCAGGCUCAGUACCGUCAAGAGCUUCAGGUCACCCUGCAGAGGCAGCGCCAAGCCCGCCGGGGCCCCGGGGAAGGCUCAGCUGACGGGCCUGGAUCUGACGGAGCCACAGGCCAGGGCUCAGGGCCAGCCUGUCUGUCUCAGCUCUGGCAGGACCCUUCCCGUGGUCGAGACCCUGGCGUCAGAAGCACCGCAGAAGCCCACGGCCCCGUCCAAGAGAAUGGAAGGCCAUGACUGGGGGCUCCUGACUCCCAGCUCCUCCUCGUCUUCCCCCGUCCUGGACGGUGGAUACGUUCACACUUAUCUGGCCGAGGGGCUGACCUGGAGCAGAGCCCCCGAGACGACCCCAGAGAGGCGCAUCUGCUCACGGGGCCAAGCUGGUGCUCCAGGGCAGCGCCGGGCUCCCGCUUGGCUCAUUCCUGUGGCGUCCGGCCUUCUGGAACGUGCGUGCGUCCCCUUCACGACCAAAGGAGGCGCUUGCAGCUGGUGCGUUCAGCGCCACCCGCGCAGUCUGUCCCCCUCGGGUGACAGCACGUAUUACUGCCCGUGGGCUGUGG